rnacentral:lncRNA from 1 species
GUCUUUGAUCUUUGAUAUAACAUGUUUAAAUUUUAGUAUUGCUCUGUAUUGCCAGAGGAAGAGCUUCAUUACUCUCCACCCCUGAGAUCACUAUUGCUCUACUUACUUAUCCCCUGUUAUGAUCCACACUAAUGUCUUCCUUAUCUUGACUAUGUUGUUAUUUUAUGAUGCUCUUUUGAAUUUGGUCUUCUAUUUGUUGUUAUUAUUCUUUCCUUCAUUUUUGGUUUUUUGCUUCUCCAUUUAUUCUUGUUGCUACUUUAUUGGAGAUUAUUACUCUCCAAAACUCUGAUUAACCGUUUUCUCUGGGUUCUCCUUUCC